rnacentral:rRNA from 1 species
AGCGAACGCUGGCGGCAGGCUUAACACAUGCAAGUCGAACGCUCGUAGCAAUACGGGAGUGGCAGACGGGUGAGUAACGCGUGGGAAUAUGCCUUUUGGUUCGGAAUAACUCAGGGAAACUUGAGCUAAUACCGGAUAAGCCCGAGAGGGGAAAGAUUUAUCGCCAAAAGAUUAGCCCGCGUCCGAUUAGCUAGUUGGUGAGGUAAUGGCUCACCAAGGCGACGAUCGGUAGCUGGUCUGAGAGGAUGAUCAGCCACACUGGGACUGAGACACGGCCCAGACUCCUACGGGAGGCAGCAGUGGGGAAUAUUGGACAAUGGGCGCAAGCCUGAUCCAGCCAUGCCGCGUGAGUGAUGAAGGCCUUAGGGUUGUAAAGCUCUUUUGUCCGGGAAGAUAAUGACUGUACCGGAAGAAUAAGCCCCGGCUAACUUCGUGCCAGCAGCCGCGGUAA